GGCCCUAGCCAGGUACCUCAGUUUGUUAGAGGGUCAUCCCAAUGCACUUAGGUUGUGGGUUCGAUCCCUAGUCAGGGUACAUACAAGAAUCAACCAGUGAAUGCAUAAAUAAGUGGAACAACAGAUCGAUGUUUCACUCUCUCUCCCUCCCUCUC